UAUUAUUGACAAUUGCCCUUUUUAUUUCACUAAAUAUAAAACAUACAUAAAAAACAAAUGUAACCAACCAUUUUAACAAAAUGUUAAUUCCAAUUUUUUUUUAAAAAAAAAAAUUCUAAUCAUUAUAAAUAUCAUUAAAAUUUUAAAUUAGUAUAUUGUGAUUUAUAAAAAAUAAAAAUUCUACAAAUUUUUAAUUAUAUUUUAAACAUAAUAAAAAUUUAAAUUUCUUAAGUAUUUAAAAAACAUUCUACAAAGACUUUAAAUUUCUUAAGUAUUGAAAGUACAUUCUACAAAGACUUUAAAAAGAUCUUUCUUAGAAAAAAAUAACAUUUAUGUUUCAAAUAUAAAAAUAAAAUAUCUAUUCUAUUAAAAUAGAAGUCACAACUUCAUUUCAUGUGUGAUAUUCUAAGUUGAACCAUUAUUUAGAAAGUUUAUCAAAUGUACAUAACAUUAUUAUAAUACCUUUUAAUAUAUUUAUUUUUAUUUAAAAUAAAAUAAAUAUUUAUUUAAGAAAAUUUUAACAAUAUUUUUUAAAAAUCUUUUCAGAAUCAUUUUAAUUUUUUUCCGAAAAUUGAUUAAUUUAAAUUUAAUUUUCAUAAAAUAUAAUAGGAAAUUUAAAUUUAGUUUAGUUUUGAUUUAUAAACAAAAAUUAAAAAUUAUAUAAAUUUUUUUAAUGAUAAUAACAACUUACAAUUAUUAUUUUUCAAAAAUACAUUUUACAAUUAGUUUACCGAUUUUGAAAGAGCUAAAUCGGUUUGUUCAUGUUGGCAAUCUGGUUGAAACCAACCAUUUUGGUUUUAUUAAAUAUUUUGGAAAAUGAUCUUUUACUUUUUUAAUAUAUGUGUCUAGAUGUAUCCUGAAUGAUUAUGGAUAUGAAUAGAAAAAUCCUUUUUUACAUUAUAUAGAAAAGCUGCAAACAUAUUUUCAAUUGGAUUAUUGUAGGAUUUGGUUAUAACAAUAUAAUAAGUACUGUUAUAUAUUAUAUAAAUUUGAUUAAGGGAGAAAGUUUGAAUGUGACCACCUGAUUGGAUUGCAUCAUUGCUUCUGUCACUUGUUGGAAAAAAAAACUUGUCUUGCGAGGUAAAUUAUGUUGCAUGUUUUAGUGUACAAUAAGAUUAGUCAAAGUGUUUUUGAAAUUGUGAAAGAAGUUCGUAAAAAUAACUCCAUCUAUUUCAUAAAAUUACAUAUUUUUUAAAAAAAUAUUUGUUUAAAAAAUACAUUUUUUAUAUUUUCAAUGCAUGUUUUAUUAAAUACCAAUGAUUAAUUAAAAGUUUCAUAAAACUUUCACUUUUUGAUUUCUACUGGUUUAUAAUUAUGAAAAAAUAAUCGUAUAAAAAUUAUGCAUUAUUAGAUGUUUUAUUAAUAUGUGUGAAAAAUCUAAAAUAUGCAUAAUAUUGAAACAGAAGAAAUAUUAAUUAUUUUAAUGAUGUUGAUGUCUCUUGAAUUAUUUGAGUAGUUGAUUUAAAAUUAUUGAAGCUAAACCAAGUCUCAACAAUUUUUUGUUUUGUUCUGUUUGGUUCACCAAGUUCUCUUCUCAGCAAUUGUGGCGAUAUGCAUUUUCAUAAUAUUUUAAUUAGUCACCAAUUAGGUUUCAUUGGAGGUUGAUGAUUUUGUUUAAAGUAUAUAAACAUUGAUUAGUAUUGAAGUUUGACAACUAUAUGACUUCCUAAGGACUUAAAAUUUGUAAACUAAGACAAACUAACAUUUGUGAUUUGUAUACGAACACAGAUCUACUAGUGUUGACAAAAAAGACGAACACAAACUAGCUACAAAAGUACAAUCUUUGACAUAAUUAUCGGAUUUUUGUAUACCGUAAAUUAAUUUUACGCUUAGGAAUAUAUCAAUGUCGGCAAUAACACAAUCAUCCAUAUAUAAUUAAAUGUUUAUAACUAAACUGAAAAGAGUUUGAAAGCAAAAGAAAAUAAAAAAAAACUUGUAAAAAGAAAAACUGCACAGAUCCUAUUCAGUGUUAUUAGGCUAACAAUUCUCACUUAUUUUAUUUGUUAGCCAUUUGAUCAUUGUGGUCCUGCUGCAUUUUCGAUGGACCACAAGUUGUUCACCGAAAGGGGACCAUCUAUUUAGAUUUGACUUAAAGAUUUUCCUCAAAAUAUAUAACAUAUGUUCUAUGGGUUUUCACUAUAUGUCCGUACACUCCCUAUAUAAUUAUGCACUGCCCAUUUUUCUUUAUUAUCUCCAUGACCAUGAAUCAUCCCUACGAUGAUUUCCCUAAUCUCUUAUUCUCUAACAACACAGCCACAGCCACAAGCACCUCCUCCUGUGUGGAGCAACAUGAUGGCAUCAUCUCUCUUGAUAUGGAUUGGGACUGUGACUUCCACGAUCUCAUUGAAUCUAUGAUGAGUGAUAAAGGAGCCACAACAGAAUCUCCUCCAAUACUGCCUUGUUACCAUGGCCAAGAGGGAAUUUUUAACUCUUCAUCCACAGGUUUGUCCAUGGCUGAUGAGCUUGAUCAUGAUGUAGAGGCAGAUGAAUCAAAGGGAUUGAGGUUGGUUCACUUACUGGUGGCUGCUGCAGAUGCAUCAAUUGGCGCCGACAAAACCCGAGAGCUAACUCGGGUCUUACUUGCAAAGCUAAAGGAUAUGACUUCAACCAAUGACCGAACCAACAUGGAGAGAUUAGCUGCUCACUUCACCAAUGGCCUCUCAAAGUUGCACAAAGAAGCCAAUGUUCAACGGCAGUAUGGUCCCCACCAACACCCUGAUGUUCAUGACCGGGUGGACGUGAUGUUGGCGUUCCAAAUGCUGCAGAAUAUGUCUCCUUACAUCAACUUUGGUUACCUAACCGCCACACAGGCUAUUCUUGAAGCUGUACAGUAUGAGCGGCGAAUCCAUAUUGUGGACUACGAUAUCACAGAUGGUGUUCAAUGGCCCUCCUUGAUGCAGGCCUUGGUGUCUAGAAACACAGGUCCUUCGGCCCAGCAUCUUAGGAUCACGGCUUUGUCACGCGCCACAAACGGUAAAAAAUCAGUUGCUGCCGUCCAAGAGGCUGGACGUCGUCUAACCGCGUUCGCGGAAUCCAUAGGGCAGCCUUUCUCUUACCACCAUUGUAGAAUGGACAGCGACACAUUCAACCCAUCGUCCUUAAAGCUUGUCAGAGGAGAAGCAGUGGUGAUCAAUUGUGUGUUGCAUCUCCCUCGGUUUAGUCACCAACCACCCAAUUCCAUUAUUUCCUUUUUAUCGGAAGCUAAAACACUAAAUCCGAAACUUGUAACGCUUGUUCACGAAGAAGUUGGUCUAGUGGGAAACCAAGGCUUCCUUUAUCGGUUUAUGGACUUGCUACAUCAGUUUUCAGCCAUAUUCGACUCUCUAGAGGCAGGCCCAGCUCGUGGAUUUGUUGAGCGUGUUAUUUUUGGACCUUGGGUUUCGGGUUGGUUGACACGUAUAGCUAUUACUGCUGAGGUGGAGAGUUUUGCUUCAUGGCCGCUGUGGUUAGCUACUAAUGGGUUUAAACCUGUGGAAGUCAGCUUUGCCAACCGUUGUCAAGCGAAGCUCCUUUUGAGCUUGUUUAACGAUGGGUAUGGAGUGGAAGAAUUAGGCCAAAACGGGCUCGUUUUGGGAUGGAAAUCCCGACGUCUUGUGUCGGCCUCUUUUUGGGCCUCGUGCGAGUCGAGUGAGUAAGAUUCUCUAUAUAAUACCAUACAUACAUGAGUUGUAUAUGAAGACACUAAUUAUGUAAAUAUCAAAAAUCUUUUUUUUUUGUGAAUGUGGAAACUGAACUCGAACCCAAACCAAAAAUUAUAAAUUCCAAUUUAGUUUCAAAUAUUUAUAAACCUAAAGAUUCAGAUCCGAUAGAAACCGACUUAAUUUCGAUCUGAAAUCUGAAUCUCCAGAUGUAAUACACACCAUGCUUAAAAUCAAGAAACACAUGCUCUUGGGAGAUUUAAAAACACAUGUUAAACUUACCUGUUGAAAUUACCAAAAUAUCACUAAAAGGAUACUGAAACAAACAACAUUUUCGCUCUUAGACAUGUUAAUCUUUUAUUUCUGACUGAUUCUUUAUUGCUUGAAUGUUGUAUGUACCUACUCUUCUCCAUAUUUUGAAACUAAUCAAGUGAUUUGAUUAAUAGGUGAUUGGUAGAAAAGCAUAAAAUAAAUAAGUUUCAAAAAAGCAUAAAAUAAAUAAGUUUCAAAAAGGCAUAAAAUAUAAUAUUAUAUAAAACUAUGUAAUAUAUAUAAUUCUUUGAAAUUAUCUUUAUUGACAUCUAUAAUCAUUACUUAUAAUUUUAUAUAAAACCUUGGAUACCAAUAAUAAUAUUUUUAUUAAUUAAAAAUCCAUAAAACAUUUGUUACCUUGUAAAAAUAAACGUAUACAAUCAAUAAUAAAAACAGUCGAGUAUAUUAUAGAUUAAAAAGAUAAACAGAAGUAAAUAAAGUAACACAUAACAAUUUCUCAAAGCUUUUGUUCGUGAAUCUUGUGUUUAUUUUGUUGCACCUCAAACUAUUGUAUAUGUUUCUACUUGCUCUUUGAUGGGAUUACAAGAUGCAAAAAUUAAAUGACUCAAGAGUUGAAGUCAAAUGCAUACAUAAUCUCUUUUUGCCAACAUGUAUUUUGCCAUAAACUUCAAUAUAAUCCUUAAUUUUUUUCAAUAUUUACAAAAAUAUCAUUAUAAUAUUAUUUUAAUUUAUUUUUUAAAUUAGAAAAAGUAAUUUUCUUUUUAUCAUGUACGUGAAUCCGACUCCCACAUUCAAAUGGACGAGAAGGCUUCCGAAGAUCUUGACCGUUGACCAAAUGGGAAGAUAAUGUUUCCAAUUUUAGCUUUUGAUUCUCACGGCCUAAGGGCAUCUGCAUCAAUGAACUUUUAAGGGGGUCAUAAUUUUAAUUUUUUAUUAUUUUUUUUUUAUUUUUUCGUUUGAUUUUUUCUAAAAAAAAAAAAAAAAAAAAAAUAAUCGGACCAAUCGCAGGCCGCCACGUGGCGUGGGGCCCGCGUUACAGGGGUGAACUCGUAUUAGUGGAGAGAGCUCACACGAGCUGGGUUCAUAAUUUGUGGAUUAUUAUAAUAGUUUUUUUUUUUGGGAAUUGUGUGAACUUUAUACUUAACCCCUUGAUGCGGGUGCUCUAAUGUCUUCUUCUGGGAUUUCGGCUCUACAUAUGAAAGAGCCAUUUUCACUAUGCUUAACUGGGAAGAGACCCGAGUUUAAUUGCAUCAUUGGCUGAGUUGCCGGAAUAACUGUCACAGCCUAACGACUGAUCUCCAUCUCGACAGUUCUGUCAUCCCUUUUAUCUACGGCAGACUAAUUGUCUCCAUAUAUCUGAAACGUUGUCUCUGGAGAUCAGAUUAGCUGGAGCUGGUCAAUAUCUAACCCAGCAAAUAUCAGACAAAGCUUCUCGAUGACCCUUCAUUGAAUUAUCGACUAAAUUGGAACUGCCAAAAAAAUCUGGGUCUGGCCCUGGCGACAACGCAUUAUCUUUCCCUUUGCUUGAGCAUUUAGGGAUUGAAGACCUUGUUCUUUACGAAGAACAUGUGAAGAACUGAAGCAGAUUGGAGAAAUUGGACAGAUUCACAGUAGUAAGCCAGAAACAAAAGCGAAAAAGAAGAGACAGUGUUAGAGAGAGAAACUACCUUUUGAAUCGCAGGAAGAAAUGAAGAAAUGAGAGUGUAUUACUCUACGUAUGGGCUAAGGCGUGAUAAAUAAGGAAGCGUAACCAUUAACAAUCCCAAGUAAACUGGGACCCGGUUUGUGAUUAAAAUCAUUAGUUCUCAUUAACCAGGAUUUCAAACGGUUCAUGGUUAAACAUCAAUUCUAUAUUCUUGGGAAUUAUUUUUGUAAAUUCAUCGAGAUCGACUUCACCUCUCAUAAUGAAUUAGGGAGACUUAUCGUUGGAGAUAGAUCACAAUGUUCCUGAGUGUAUAUCCAUCGAAUAAACAGAACUCAAUCCAGUUAAGUCUAAAAUCGGCAUAUGUUUACGCCGACUUAAAAGUGAAAAAGAAUAAGUCAAGUAUAUAGAGAGAAGGCCAAAAACCGAGAAGACACACACGCUUCUCGACAUAAGAGAUAGGAUUUUCAUUAUUUACCUUGUUUUUGCCGAGUUGACCUAAUCUCCUAGAAUCCUUUUUUCUCUUGUAAUUGGUCUUUUAUCAAUCAAUAAAACAUUUUUCAAUAGUUCACUAUAAAUUCAUGCAUACAUCCUCCUCUACGUGCCAAAUUCGGAUUAACAUUCACUAGGCAUCAUUCUUCUCAUAUACUAAAAGUAAGUGAAAAUUAGUAUAUUUCCCGGAUAAAUGAAGAAGAUUAUCUUAUGCUGGUUUCUUAGUUCUUGGUGACUUCCUUCAAACAUUCAGGAAAUUUUGUGCCUUCAUGCCUCAGAGACAGAGGCGGUCUUGAGGGGAGCAGGAUGAAACGACCACCUAGGAACCCCCAGUUUAAAAAAAAAAAACAGCAAAAAUAAUUACCAAGUGGACCACCAAUUUUUUAAUUUAUCAAAAAAAAAAAAAAACCCCACUGCAUUUUCACUCUUUGUAGAUCGUCAGUCUUUUCUUUCUUUUUUUGUGCUCACUCGAGUGUGUGAGAGAAACCCCAAGUUCUUUCACGCAACUUGCAUGUUAUCCAAAAAAUCUCAAACCCUUUUAUCUCUUUCUCCCUUGUCCUUAUAUAUCUUGUUCGAUUAGCUUUAUGAUGUUAUCUUGUUGUUGAAAUCUGAGUGUAACUUUUUGGUGGUUAUGGUUGAAAUUUGCAUGAGAAAUGGUCCGGAGUACGUUCUGCUUACAUCUCAUGGCCAAUAAUUAGAUAAAAAUUGAAACUUUGGUCUGUCUGCUUAGUUUAUGAGUAAACCCUAAUCUUUACCCAUUACUUGUGUCAGUGUGUGGUCUUGGAGUUAGCUUCUUGGCUAUUUACUCUUUUGUUCUGCUUACUACUUCUGUCUGGACUUUGAAUCAGCUUCCUAGAGAUUUACUCUUUGUGAUUAUUGCUUUAGAUGAUAUGUCUGAACUUAGAAUGUCUGAAAGUGGAAUAUAUGAACUUGGAGACGUGUGAACUCCGUGUCUGUGCUACCGGUUGGGCUCUGUUCUUCGUGUAUUUUAAACUUAUUUACCAAACUUGGAGAUAGUAUGUCUGAACUUAAAAUGUCUGCUCGUGGAAUUUACUCUUUGUGAUUCUUGCUUCAGAUGAUAUGUCUGAGCUUGAAAUGUUUGGAACUUGGAAUGUCUAGAACUUGGAGAUAUCUGAACUUGAAUUGUCUGAAAUUGGAAUCAGCGAGCACUUUUUCGUCUUCUCUUUGUGAUUCUUUCGUGUUUUUAGGCAAACCUAUAACGUGUUUCCCUUUGUCUCUAGGUCGUUUUCCUGAUUCAGUUGUUUCGGAUGUCUGAAAACAUGAGCAGCCACCACCUUCUCGAGUACCCAGAAGUCACUACCCGAGUCUCUCCCUCGUCUCCAAGAGUUUCAGGAAACUCAUUGCCUCGACUAAGCUCUACAAGAGGCGAUCUCAGCUUGGUAUCACCGAACACAGUGUCUAUGCUCUCCACUGCAACCGCAAUACGGGUGACUGCUGUUUCUACAUCCUCCCACCGGAAAGUCAACUCCAGUAACCGCUUGGUCAUCGUCCGAUCACUUCCUCCCAUGUCUUACGUGGAAGCUUUGUCCCAGUGGGUUCCAAGACAUAUGUGUUUAACGAUCUAGAAGCCCUCAGCAUUGACUGUACCUCUCACACGGUGCAGGCAAUCUCCGACAUGCCUCAGCGCAUGCCUAGUAAAGUUGCUAAUGUCAUCGACCGGAAGGUUUACCUGAUUGGCGAUUAUAAGCUUUGCAUGAAGGAUUUUAGGAAUCAACAUUCGCUUGUUUUUGAACCAAAGGAAAGCAUGUGGGAGGUGAACGAGAUGUUGAACUCUAAGGAGUGGCAGGGUGCGCGUGUGGUUGAUGAUGUCCUCUACUAUCACGAUUGUUCCGGGAAGGUCUUGAGGGCGUUUGAUCCAAAGCAGAGCUGCGGAGACUGCCCAAUCCAAGUGGUCCAAAGCAGUGAAGUGCGGUGAGAAGAAGAUGGCUCUCUUCUUUCCUAAAAAGCAUGACGGCAAUGAGAUCACUUGCUGUGCAGAUAUCGUUUUCGAAAGGCGACAAGGAGGAGAGUUUUGGGGUAUGAUGGAGUCAUGUGAUGUUGUCGUUGAGGAUGGGCUGUUGUUUGACAUGGUGAAAUGUGUGUCUGUUGCUGUUUCAUGCAGCAUAAUAAUAUCUAUUUAGAUCUUUCGUAUUUUAAUUAUCCUAAAUGCCAUCUCGUGUGGUUGUAAGUUUUCUAACAUCGUUUAUAUAAGGCAAAACAUUAGGAGCGGUGUGUUUUAUGUUGUUGUUUACUAUGUUGUAUUCUUAAAUCAAAAAGGAAGAGACACAGAGAAAGAAAGAGGCAAAUAGAAUGUGAGUUGGGUUCAUACCUAUCUAUACUCCCUAUCUAUCAUUUUCGCGUAAUCGUAGUUAUACCUUCAAUCUUCUUGCGCCAAAUUGUUAAGCUAAAUUUGUGCAGAGUUUUUUUUUUUUGUGAUACUAUGAAUACAAUAAGCAAGGAAUAAAAAGUAUGAUCAUGGAUCGAACGUAAUUUAUUAUUGAUCUAGAGAAUCAGGAAUAUGCUGAUGAUACAUAAAUAAAUUAAAAAAGAGUCAGGAACAUUGGAUAGUCAGUCUCUUAUUUUAGGAUUUGGAUCUCCCUUUUAUAGAUUACUAGAUAAGGUCCGUGCGUUGCAACGGGUUUUGUUUGAUGUUUUAGUAAAAACAUAAAAAUAAUAAAUCAUUUUGUUAUAGAUUGAGGAUUUUUUUGUUUGCAUAAGUUGUGAGAUAUUUAUUUUCUAAUUACAAACUCAUUUACACACUCAAAUUCCAAUUCUAGACUAAUGGUUUAGAAUUGAGGGGUGUGGUAGGUUUUAGAAAUAUGGAAUUUAUGAUUCUAAUAAAUAUAAAUACUUAAUUUUUUUAAAAAAAAAAUUAGGUUAACUAAAUAUAAUUAACUCAUUUAAGCUAACAUAAAUAUAUAUAUAUAUAUAUAUAUAUAUAUAUAUAUAUAUGUUAACUAAUAUUGAGCUUCAUAAACUUCAUUAUUCAUUUAAGGAUUUUCAGUCAUAUCGCCAAGAUUAACUAAGCAACCAUCAUCAUAGCUGAAACUAAUAGAAAUAAUAAAAAUUAGUGUAUUAAAUUUUCUUCAACCAAUUAGAGUUACCUAAUAAAAUUAACAUCCAAAUGUUUUCAUUAGAAUUUAGUUCAGAAGAUGCUUAUAAAAAAUUUACACUUUGAUAUCUCUUGAUAAAAGACUUUCAUGAUAAUAACAAUAUUAUCACAUUUCAUAGCGCGAUAUAUAUCUUCAAAUAGUUCUACUUGUCCAAUUCAUAAUGUUGUUUGUAUUUCAAUUUUACUAUAUAGAAUAAAGUUUUUGUAGAAAAAAAAAACUGAAAUUGCUUAAUGGAAUUGGACUAAUAAUUCAUUGAGAAAAAGUGCUACAGUUAUUUAUAGAAAAAUACCUCCUUAACUAAGUUAGAGUAACUCUUCAGAGGAUUGGUGUAGUCUGACAAUGAACAUCAGCUUUUAAAUAUUAUUGAUAUAUCAAUUACACAUCUGUAACAAAAAAGUUAUACAUAUAUAUAUAUAUAUAUGUAUAUGUAUAUAAAUGCAUGAAUAUUAUCAUCUAAUUAAAAGUUUCUUGUAUCUUUAAGUUGAGCAAAAUCUUUGUAGUUGAAAUCAAAUUUUUUUUACUGUGUAUUUGAGGUAAUGGUUGUUUCACACAUAUGCAGUUGUUGUUCUCUCAAUCACUCUUAUCUGAAAUUUAUGAUCGGAGCCUUUAUAGUUCUUACUGCAAUCUUGCACAUUAUAAAUAGAAGAUAUCGAUAAUAAUUCCUUCACAUAGUUCAUCUCCAAGCUUUCAAGAAGAGAAUGAUGCACACAACCUUGAUUGUAUUUUGCUACAUAAUAAAAAAUCAAUUUGAAUAAAAAGUUAUAAAAUAUUUUUUAAAACUUUACCUUUAUUAAGUAUGAUAUAUUCCUUCCUAUAAGUUCAUUAUUAUUUUUUUCAAAUUUCUUACAUUUUAAUACUUUUAAAUGAUUUAGUGUUCAAUAACCUUAUGAAUUCAUUGUUUCCUUGAUAAUACAUGAUAGCAAAUUAAGUAACAAUUUCAGUUAGAAAAUAUUAAAUCUACUUUUUUCAAACAUAGUCUUAUUGUAAGAAGUGUCUAGUUAACCUUUUGACUAAACCCUCGUGACAAUCAAAAUCAUUACAAUUGUUGUUGAUUUUAAAGUUAUUAGCUAACUCGCAUAACCAUUAUAAACUGUUUAUACUGCUUUUUUGUUUAGAUUUGAAGAAAAAAAUAAAAAUACAAUUAAACAGUCUUCAACAAUUUUAUUUUGUAGAAGAUUUGAUAAAAGGAUAAUUACUAUCAAACAAAUUUUUACAAUUAUAUUUUCUUUAUGAUUUUAGAAAACGAAAAUUAGUAUUAAGUAAAUUAUUAUACAUAUUUUUUUGUUUAAGAAUUAUAAAAAGCAAAAAAAAUUAGAAAAAGGAAAUUAUUGUCAACUAAAAACUAUCAAAUAAUCUUUUGUUAUUAUCUUUGUUUAGGAUUUUGGAAAACGAAAAUUACUAUUAAAUAAUUCUUGUGUUAUUAUCUUAUUAUAAUUAUAUUAUUAAUUAUGAUAUAUUAAGCAAUUAUGUUUGGUGACAAAAUAUAGGAGAAUUUAAUCUUAUAUAUAGAUGUGAAUAAUUGUAAUCCUUUCAGUUACAAAAUAAAUAGUGUAAUCCUUUUUGGAUUAUGAUUUCUUAAACAGAAAAUUUACUAUUUAAAUAAUAGAGUCUAUUAUUAUAUGAAAAUAUUUGAAAUAAUUAUUUUUCAUUUCUUUUUAGAUUUGAAGAAAAAAUAGAAAACUACAAUUAAACACUCUUUAACAAUUUUCUUUUGUAGAAGAUUUUAUAAAUGGAUAAUUACUGUCAAACAAAUUUUCACAAUUAUAUUUUUUUAGGAAAUGAAAAUUAGAAUUAAGUAAAUUAUCUUACAUGUUUUUUUAGGAAUUGUAAAAAGAAAAACAAUUAUAAAAAUAAAAUUAUUGUCAACUAAAAAAAUAUCAAAUAAUCUUUUGCUAUUAUCUUUAUUUAGUAUUUUAAAAAACAAUUUUACAAAACGAAAAUUAGUAUUAAGUAAAUUAUUAUACAUAUUUUUUUUUAGGAAUUGUAAAAAGGAAAAAAAUUAGAAAAAGGAAAUUCUUGUCAACUAAAAACCAUCAAAUAAUCUUUUGCUAUUAUUAUCUUUGUUUAGUAUUUGAAAAUAGAAAAUUACUAUUAAAUAAAUUUUUGUGUUAUUAUCUUAUUAUAUUUAUAUUAUUAAUUAUGAUAUAUUUUAACACAUGUCAUUAUCUUAAAUUUUUAAUUGCCAUGUGUCAUCGUCAUGUUAAUUAGCAACUUUGAAUAAUCAAGCUUUAUAUAAUAAAAUCCUUAAUCGUGAAUUAUGGUAGAUCAUUUUAUGUCUUGAAAUAGAAAAAUCAUCUUUAGUAGAAAUUUUUCAUUUUAUCCGAAGGCUAGGAAAAACUCAGUCCUAGAGUCAUAACUCGUCUAGGCAGAAGAAGAAUCUCGACGUCCUUCUUUUAAGCAGGAAAAAUGAUUUUAUGUAUUAAUUAUCCCAAAAAUUUAUAAUAUAUUUGACAAGAAAUAAUGCAUUGCGUAGUAAAAUAUGUGAAUGUUCACUUGGCAAAAAUAAAAUUUGCAGUUCUAUGCACAAAUGCUAUAUGGCUUAAUUGGUAGAAGUUGCGGUUUGAUUUUUUGGCUUUGAAAUAUAGAAGUUUAGCUUCUUUUAUUAAACUUGUUUAGGGGUGUUAGUGGGAAUAAAAUUUAUAUAGAUUUUGUUGAUUUUAAAAGUUGAAAAAUUUGUUAAAUGUGAAAAGAGCUAGAGAGAAUGUUGUUUAUUGUGAAAAUUUAGCAAAAUAAAUUACUAUAAUGAUUUUAAGAAUCUAAGAGAUAUAUGUAGUAUUCUCAAAAUCUUGUUAUAUAUGUGUUAAAUAGUUAAGAAUACAACUUCCAUUAACACUAAUUUUAAUAUAUCUAUAUAAUCAUUAAAAUCCAAAUUUUUAGAAUAACAAAAUAUUUUAUAAAAUUAUAAAAUCGUCAUCCUAAUAAGACGUGAAAAUCUAUAAACCAAUAAUAAUAGAUUCUUUAAAUUAUAACAAUCAUUAUAAUGUAACUCUCACAAUCUUACUAACACCCCCUAAAUAACAUUUUAGGAUAUUUUAAUAUGGCUAAAUUUUACCAUAGUUUAAAAGAUGAGAGAGAUAAAUAGAAUUAUUGGUAGAAAUUGUUGUUUUAUUUUGUUCUUCGCUUAAAAAUAGAAAUCUAUUUUUUGUUUAUUAACCUUGUUUAAAUGAAAUUUUAGGAUAAUAUGGUUAAACUUUAAGCAUGGUUUAAAACAUGAGAGAGAUAAAUAGAAAUCUGUUACAAAACAUAAAUACAUGAAAUCAAGAGCUUUUCUAAUCCCACUUGUGUUUUGGCUUUGGUGUCGGUCACUUUUAAAAAAUUGUAAUGCCUAUAUAAACAAACAUCUUUGAGAUAGAAAAGGAAAAAGACCUGUUUGUGUUCGAUGUCCAACUCCGAAGAGCAACCCCGUGCGAAGAAGACCAAGAGACGAGCGUUUCCGUUAUCGUGUUUGCCAGAUGAUUUGGUUCUGAACUGCCUUGCUAGAGUCUCGAGACUAGACCUCGCGGCCUUAUCUAUGGUCUCCAAACGCUAUCACUCUCUAGUGGCGUCGCCUGAUCUCUACAAGAUUCGAUCGCUGAUUGGUCGCACCGAAACAUACGUCUACGUAUGCUUACGAAUCCCUACUCCUGUUCCAAGCGUGCAAUGGUAUAUCCUCCGCCGUAGAAAAACCCUGGACGCCUCUGACCUGAUUCCGAUCCCUUCGCUCCCCUCCCAGCCUCUGGAAGCAUCCUCCGUGGUGGUGCUGGACUGUAGCAUAUAUGUAAUCGGUGGGUUGAUAGAGGGAGAGCAGCGCACUUCAGAUGUCUGGCGCUUGGAUUGUCGGACUCACGUGUGGCACCCUGUCCCUUGCAUGGGAGUGGCUAGAGCUUACGGGGCUGCUGGUGUUGUAGACGGGAAGAUAUACGUGUUUGGAGGAUGUGAUGUCCAUGAUAACUAUGGAGAGGUAUUCGACCCGAAGACUCAGACUUGGAAUCCUUUGCCGCCUAUGCCGAAACGGAAGAAGCAUAUCCACAGCAGUAUGGUGAGGGAUCAAAAGGUUUAUGCAUUGGAUGACAAGGAGAGAACGUUUUACUACUCGCCGAGGGAAGGUAAAUGGGGAACAGGGAAUCGCGGACAACUGGUAGGAUACCGAAGGGAUUGGUGUAUGGUUGAUAACUUGCUCUUUUGUCUGAGCAAAAACGGAGUUAUAUUGUGGUGCGAGCCGGGUGAGUUGGAUUUGCGUGAAACAGAGAGGGUGAUGAAGGUAGAGGCGGUCAGGGGUUUUACUUAUAGAUCUCUCUACCAGAAGCUCUUUCUUUCCAGACUUGUCCACUAUGGUGAUCAGAUUAUUGAUCGUUGGGAAGAAAAGUGGAUCAUGGAUGGUCGACCCCCGUUAAAGAUUCCCAAAAGUUGGAAAAAGUUCAGGUUCGAACGUUUACGUCCAGGUGCCAGAAUGUGCAGCUCCGGUGGGAAGAUUGUGCUUUUCUGGGACGAGAUUUCAUUGGAGGGAGGAUAUCUUCAUCAUAUUUGGUGGGCGGAGAUUUCAUUGGAGAGACUCCAAGGAGGCGAGAUUUGGGGCUACAUUGAACGGUCUAAUAUUCUCAUGCCUGUUGAACCUGUUAAAGCCCACAAGAAGGCCUUUAAGAUAACAGCAUAUACUGAAUAUCACUGCCCCUUAAAUCCACCCACAAAUAGCCUCUGUCAAUGACAUCUUCCUUCUCUUUGCAACUACUGUUGCUGGAUGUAGUGAAGAAGAUACCGCUGCUGUUGUCUUAUUCUUUUUCUUGGCAUCUCCAGAUGCAGAUUGAGCUGUUCUAGCUAGCUAGCUGCUUGGAUUGUAAGUACCGAGUUUUAGCCUGAGAUUUCUCCUGGGAAUCAGAAUAAGUUGCUGUUGAUGGUAGUAGUGAUAAGUGUAAUACUUUUGGUUGGCAUAACUCUGUCCAAAGUUUCCAUCAGCUUCGUGUUUCCAUUACACAGAUUUCCCAUUCCAUUCUUCAGUCCUCUGAUAAGACGCAAUUGAUGUAGGGUUUUGUUUCUCCUACAUAUAUUUUAGUGCUGAUGUCCAAGUACUCAUCUCUUCAUAGUGACAACUGCAAAUAAUGUGAUAUGGUUAAUUCAUGAACUGAUGUGUUGUCUAUCUUUGGUAUCUAUUCAUGAACUGUUCAUUACACUCAAACAGAAGAAGCGAAUACCCCAUGUAAGGAUCCACAUCAUGUAGUUCAGCUCGAUAUUAGAGGAAAUAUAUUUGUGUUCAAGAUUAACAAAGAAGGUGAGACCAUUCUUGAAGAACAACACACGGAGAAACAAUGAGGAUGACACCAAAUUCAGAUGGUUCUAAUAUAUUAUUGUUAGUACCUUUUGCUUUACUUCUCUCUGCAUAGUCUUGGUUACCACCCCAUCAGCAUGUUUUAAAAGUCCAUCCUGGCAAAGGUUUAGGAGUUUUAGACACCUAACGCCAAUGAGUGGGAUCCAUUCAAUCAUAUUCGAACAUUGUCCUUCUUCUUCCAUCGAUUGAUAAGUUAGUUAGAGGCAAUGAUUUGGAGUAGCGCUAAUUUGGAGCCUUUGCUUGCAACAGCUGCAUGUUAUCGCACCAACUUGAUUCCCUAUACGGCUCUAAUUACUUCUAAAAGACUUUUUCUUUAAAGUGUUUUUUUUUGUCAACAACCAAUACUUUAAUUUUAGGUAUUGACAAUGUGUGUUAAAUUUGGUAUGUCAUGUUUCGAUGACAACUAAAAGUAUAACUUUUUAAA